rnacentral:lncRNA from 1 species
UUUGAGAAAAAUCGAAAUCUGAGUCUUUCUGUUGACCGAAGGAGGAAGGCCAGAGUUCAGAGGCCGUGAGACGGCGGCCUCCACGGCGAGGUAUGAAGUCAGCGAUGAUAGCACCGCCACACAUAUUAUGUUACGAGGAUGAUUAUUGAUUAGCGUGUGGUAAACAAAGGUUUGGGGGUUGGAUAUUGGUGUUGUGAGAAGGCGCAAUGAAUAUGAGUUUGUUACUAUUGAGGAAGUAGAAUUUGUUGUGUUGUGUUGUGAAGUGUGAGUAUGACAAGAUGUGGAUAGAUUUGGAGGGUAUAUGUAGCUGGAAAAAUAUGCGAAGAAGAGUGCAUUACAGAUGUGACAUGAAACUUCCUAGGCCGCCAAAAUUCGUAUUGUCUUUUACUUUUGCCUUCCUCGCUUCUGCUUACAUUGGAACAACAACAUUUAAAUAUUAUUAAAUUAUCAACUAUACUUUUGAAAAAUAUAAUCUAACUUUUUUAUCAUUUAUAAUUUUUAAAGUUCAAAUAAUUAUCAAAUUCACGUUGAUUCCAUAAUUUGAGUUUUGAGAAUAUAUUUCUUUUAUUUUUAUUAAAAUGAUAUUAAUCAAGGUAUUAUUUCAUAAAAGUUUUAUAACUUACAAAAGUAUGAAUGAACUAAUAUAUGAUCAAUAAAGUAAUUUAAUAAUGAGACUUAAGGAUACUUAUAGAAGGUAGAAAGCAAACACAAAUGUGCAUAUAAUUCAUAUGUUCGUAAUACUUCUUAUUUGAUCUAGACUAUAAGGAUACUUAUAUAAUACUUAAUCCGUCCAUUUGAUUUAGACUAAAUCACUUCUUUUAACAAUGUUACAUGUUCUAAACUUUUAAAUCUUAAUUGAUUAGAGUUUGAUGCUGAUAACGUAUUAUAAAAUAAACUAAAAAACAAGAUGAUAUAUAAAUAGAAACUGAAAAUAUAUUUUAUUAUUCUCUUCCAGUAUCCAUUUUACAAUAUAGGAGUCCUAUUCAUCAUAAAUAAGUUUUAUAACUCAUAAAACUUGAUAAUGUAACAUAAUGAUUAUUAAAAGCAUUUAAUCUUACUAUUUACUGACUUCUUAUUAAAUGUAGAAGCAAAUGGACAUCUACUCACGAUAAUUAAUAUUCAUUUAUUAUUAUCUUUAUAUUAAGUCAAUACUAUUAAAUCUUUUGAAAAAUAAAAAGUUAAACAUAUUUAUAUAUAAAAUAUCGGUUUAAAAAUAAAAAAUGUUCAUAUCAAUACACUAUUUAUUAAAUAUUAUUAUUGCUGUGAAAAAUCACUAUUUAUUUUUAUUAGUAUAUGUAAAAUUUUAUGGGACUAUUUUCCUUAAUAUCCCUUUAAGAAAAACAAAUUUCAAAAUAUCUUAUUAAAAAUAAAAAUACCAAAUUCUCCUAGUUUUUAGACUUUUACUAGGUCAAAAUGCGACCAAAGUAAGCACACAAAUUUAGAUGAUAGUAAUUGAUCGAUUCUUUCCGACAAAAGCAAAGAACUUUGAAUUUUUUAAAACUAAACCAAAUGAAAUAUAGCUACACAUGGGAAUUUUAAUACUUAAUUUUAUUGUAUUAAUAUAACGUUUGUUACUUUGUAAUAUCAUUAGGGAGAUUAUGAUGAUUGUCUCAAAUGCACUUAGUAAAAUGCUAAAAUUGAAAAUUUAAUUCUGGGAGUGAUAUAUAUUUAUUUUUUUUUUAAAUUUUAAUUUUAAUAAUUUUUAUACAAUUUUUUUAGUUUCUCAACAAAAAUUUUGAGCUACUUCUUAGCAUCCAUUUUAUUAUUAAUAUUAAUGAUAGUAUGUUAUAUGAGUUUAUGAGAGUAGGUUGAUGAAUUCGCAAGUGGCCUUAUAUUCAAAAAGCCUUUAGGCAAAAUGCUCAGUCAAGUAUCUUGAAUCUAAUGAUGAUAUUUUUAAAUAUUUUUUAAUUAAUUUUGAAUUUAAUAUUUCAAUAUAUAUUUUUUUCAAAUGUUAAAGACACAUAUUAAAUAAUAAAAAUUAGAAACCUUUAUCUUGAAAAUUCUGCAUUCAAGUAGGAAUAGCAAAAUGGAUCAACCUCUUCCAUUUUAAUAUGUUCGAUUAUUAACAUGUUUAAAAACGGACAUACAAAUUAGAGUUGUAACAUUGAAAAUAUCAUGCGGCUUGUUUUUACGCCAAGCUGAUAAAUUGACCUGUCUAGUUUCGACUAUGUUCUAUUAUUAACUUGUCUAAAAGAAUUAGAAUGAGGUAGUUCAAUUAGAGGUAUAAAGUUAAAAAUCUCAAGUCGUUCCUUUUUAUGGAGGGUCGACGAGUUGAUCUGUCAAUUUAUUUUUAUUUAAUAUAUUUAGCUAAAAUAAUGAGAGAAAAAAAACAAUUUUAAAAUUGUAAAAAUGAAUAAAUACAAAAACAAUUAUAGAAAAUUAAAACAUAUAACCAUUGAGUUCACUAAAAAUAUGAAAAUUAUCAUUCAAACAUCCAUAUUUUAUCUUGUAAAAACCUAUAAAUAGUCAACAUGACAUAAAAAAAAAUUUCAUGAAUUUAUCUAUUGAUAAAUUAUUAGAAAGAGAAGUUUAAAGCAUGAAGUUAAAACGAUGAAUUUAAAUGAUUUUUACUUUUACUCCAUAUUUUAUGGAGGAGAAAAUUAGUAAAAUUAAUGUGAGUUGUAUGUAAAAAAAGUUUUGUAUUUAUUUUAGUACGACCACUCAAACAGGAUACUCCUUGUAAGGAUAUUCAUUUAUAUGUAUAAGUUGACAUCUCUAUAACGACAAUAUCAUUUAAAACUUAAUCUUCAUUACAUAAAUUAUGCCUCAUCUCAUUUAUUUAUAUUCUGCAUGGAAAGAGUAUAUUAAUUAGAGAUAUUUUGAUAAUAUCAUCGUUAAAUAUAGGGAUAAUAUUUACAUUUGUUUAUAUACAAAAUUGUCAAAUUUAAUAUUUUUAUUUAUUUUAAAUUUGAUAAGAGAAAUAUUUGUUUGUGUUUAUUAGGAGAAAACAAUUCAAUGAAAUGGUCAUGUACAAUUCUUAAAAGUCACAAAAAACAAUAAACACACAUGUCACAAACAAGAUACACUUAUUGAAUGACAAUAUUAGAAGUUUAUUAUAAAAAUAAAUAAUUUAUCAAAGUUUAGUAUAUAAUUUAUCUAUCAGUUGUGAAAUAUUAUCACCAGAAGUAGUAGUAUAUUAAUAAGAACACAUGACCGGUCCCAAAAAAGUAUAUAAUUAAAGCCUUUUGACAUUGAUCGUCAAAGUGACAAAGUCUUUAUUUUUAUUUAUUAGUAUAUACUUUGAAUGUCAAAGUUGCGGGUGAAUGCACAGUGACGUCUACACUAAGACGCAUUUUUACAAUUCGAUCGGUAAAUAAAUAUACAUUAUCCUUACAGUUUUGUUUCAAAAGAAAAUAUAUAUGGAGCUUGAUGACCUCGUAGGAUUUCAACCAAAAAUAGGAACUUUAUGAUUUAUGAAGAUGGCACCCCAAGAAGACAUGGAGUGAUGGAGUAUAAAUGAUUCAAGAAUAAAAUAAAAAACUGAGAUAAAAAAAAUACAAAUUAACAAGCAGUAAAUUUAAUAUUAAAUGGUUGGACAUAACCAGUUUCAACAACAAUACUGCAUACGAUCGUGAGUAAAAAAAAUAAAAAGAAAUCAUGCAAUCCUAAGAGUGCAGAUAUGUUUGGGUUUCUGUGGAGUACAAGUGAUACAUAAGCCCAACCCACAUUAUUCAUAAACAAACGAAUUUAUGAAGAGGUUUGUACCGUGCACCCCCCACUUUGACCUCUCACCCCCAUUUAUAUGGAAAAUACCAUAUUGUCCUUAGUUUCAUAUAUGAAAACUCCAAAAAAAAUUUACUUUUCUUUUUUCAUCCACUUCAUUCGAAACUUUUAAUUAUUCGAAUCUGACCCUACCAAACCUUCGAAAUAUUGAAACAUUCGAAAUACAAAAGUAAGUAAAAAUUCGAAACUUCCAAAUAUUCGAAACAAGAUUUUACCAGAAAUUCGAAAGUUUCUAUGAUGAUGAAACUUUCAAAGUUCAUUUUUCCCAUAAAUAAUAAAACUUUCGAAACUUUCAUUGAAUACGAAACUUUCGAAAUGCAGAAAGUUUCUAAAUGCAAAACUUUCGAACAUAUUGAAACUUUCGAAAAUUCAACUUUCGGAAGUUUGAAAUUCAAUGAAAGUUUCGAAUUUUGAAAAAUUAGUAAUAAAUUUAAUUAAUAAAAAAUUUAAUUAGUAAUAAAUUUCAAAAUUAGUAAUAAAUUGCUAUUCCUAAUUUAAAAAAUUAGUAAUAAAUUUAAUUAAUAAUUAAAAAAUUUGAAAAAUUCGAAAGUUUUGAAGUUUUUGAAACUUUCGAAGAAUAUGUGUUUCGAAAGUUUCAGAUUUAUCGAAACUUUCGAAAUAUUCUGAAAUUUGUGUUUCGGAACUUUCAAAUUCAUCAAUAGUUCCAAAAGUUAAAGCUUCGAAAGUUUCACAUUCUUUCAAACUUUCAAAGGUUUCUGAAAAAGUUCAUUUCGAAACUUUCAGAUUUAUCGAAUGUUUCGAAAUUUGUAUUUAAUUCUGUUAAUUUAGGUUUCGAAUGUUUUGAAUUUAACUAAAGUUUCGAAAUAUAGAAGAAAAAAACUCACUUUGAAUAAUUACGAAAGUUUCAAACUUUUGAAUAUUCUGAAAUUUUUGAAAAGUCAAAAAUGGUAAGAUAGUCAAUAUUAGAAAUUGGAGGGGUGGGAAGUAAAAACGGAGUGGUGCACAGUACAUUUCUCAUUUAUGAAAUAAUUAGCCAUUGAAAUAUACUCCAUCCGAACAUAUGUAUGUAAAUUACUCCAUCCAAAAUGAAUUACAAUUAAAAUUAGAUUAAAUUGUAGUUGAUCACAUUUAAUUCAUGCAAUUCAUAUAAAAAUUAAAUUUAAGUUAGUUGUCUAAAUUCUCUUCCAUAACUAAUAAAUUGAGUCAUCGAAAUUGAAAAAAAUAAAAUAAAUUAAAUGAAAGAUAUUUUAGAGAUAUCAUCUUUUUUAUCAUUAAAUAGAUUUUGUCAAAAAAAAAAAAACAUUAAAUCUUUUGUAUUGAACAUGUCAUUUUUGGACAUGUGGUUCAUUUAGAUAAAUAUGUAAUCAUUUAUUGUCAAACCUUAUUGUAGAAGUCAAAAAAAUAAUUCGUAAUUGAGUAAAAUUUAAGCCUUUUAACUCCUUAUUUCUCUUUGGAAUGAACCAUAUGUGGAAGAUUUUGUUUUGAUAGUGAGGAUUUAGAGAUGGAUAGACUUUGUCCCCAAGGUUUGUGUUAUGUUGCAUAGUUGACUUAGCUUUUACGACUAGCUAGCUUAAUGUGAGGGUAGAUAAUACUCCAACAUAGUUUAUGUGAGAUUGGUUGUAUUAUUUGGUUUCUUUUUGAAGGAACAAUUUUUUUGUUUAUGAAAAAAGUCCUUCAAAUUCCAAUUUUUCCGCUCCUCAAUCUCAUCAUCUCAUCUAAUUUGAAUGAGUUUCUCAUGCAAAAAAGUGUAUAAUAAUGAAACAAAGUAUCUCUUUAGAUGCUUGUUAAAAUAUGUGUAGGUACUUUGUAGUAAUGUUGCAUCCAAAAAUUAUAAUUUUUUUUAAUAAUAUACGGAAUAACCUAUUUGAUUAUGAGUUAACGUGGAACGAAACUCAGACUAAUAUAUUAUAAUUUGUUAUUAUUUGUAAACGGGUCAACUCGAUUUGUUUAAUGUGAAUAUUUAUAUAGAGUGGGUUAAACGGGACAAACUAGACUACAUAUCCAACUCUAUUAACAAAUAUUUAGAAGACCAACGAAAAAUCUAACAUAAUACUUGGAAGACGAACAAAAAACUCAUUUAAUAAUUCAAAGAUUAAAUAUAUAAGACUUAACAGAUACAUGAAAGACCAACAAAAGAUCAACUUAAUAAUUAAAAGGUUAAAUAACAUCUAAUAAAUUCUUAUAACACCAAUAAAAGACUAACUUAAUAGAUCAAAUUUAUUUAAUGAAUUAUUCUUCUAUAUUUAAGAUCGAAGGGAACACUUCAAAAACUAAGAAAAUAAUGACUUAACAAUUAAUUUUAAAUUUUUAUUAAUUUUGUGAUAUUAUAAAUUAAUUUCAUAUCCAUCCAGAGAAAUGAGAGAGUUAUUUUAAUAGUUUGUUAUAUUACACAUUUCCUUUUCCAUUCAAAAGCUACUUUUCUCUUACAUGAACAUCUCUAUAAAAUUUCACAAUAUUUUGUUGGUUAAUUUCAUAAACGCUUGUAUUUAUUUAUUUAUUUAUUCUUCAUCUAUUAAACUUCAUAUUUUAUUUUAAAUCACAACAAAAUUCACAAUUCCAAUACACGUAAUUUAAGACCCAUAUUGCAUACUAACAUAAAAACAAAACAGAAUAAUAAAAAAAGUUGAUAUCAUUAUUUUGUUACAAACAUUACCACCAAAAAAAUCUAUUACAAGUUCCUUUCUCUCAUCUCAAUUGUCCUCUUAUUUAACUAUUAAAUCAUGGCCGUAACCUCUACAUAGCCAUGAUGGUCAACAACUUUGUUAUUUUGUGAGGAACAACAUAGUUAGGAAUCGGUUGGGUUUGGGCCUUGUAUAAUAUGUGGUUUGGUUGUAAUUUUAUAGUAGGGCUUGUUAAGAAUUCUUGGUUUGAUUAUUUGAGGAAAGAUAUUUUAGGCUGAAAGUACACUGUUUAUAGAAUGUGAUUAUGACGUGGCAUACUUGUAACCUUGCCACACGUUAAAUGUUGCUAAAACAAUCAAUUUAAAGUCUAUUUGAUGUCUAAGAUAUGCUAGAAAGACGAUACAACAUAAAAUUUGAUAAAAAUAUGAUAAGAUAAACAUUAUUAUAUAUUGUAUUUGAUAUAUAUAUGAUGAUAAUCAACGGAAUAAUAAAAUUUUAUUUUGUCAUAUAUUUGAUAUACAUCUAAUCAUAACAUGAUAUAUAUUAUAUAUAAAUGACAAAAAUACUCGUAUAAAAAAAUUAUAUUUAUUUUAAAAUUUAAUUAAUUUUCAUAUUUUUAUAAUUUUAAAUACUAAUUUAUUAAAUUAUACAUAAAGACAAAACUGCCUUUGUGAUAAAAUUGUAAAUAUUUUUCAAUUAAUUAUUAGCUAAUCUAAUAUCCCGUUCGUUUCAAAAUGAGCACCACUUUAUAAAAAAUAUUGUUUUAAAAUUAGUGUCAUUUUCAAAUUAACUUUGUUUUCAUCCAAUUUUAUAUUUCAUUCCCUGUCUAAACAUUCGUUAAAUUUAGAAUUUACAUCUAUAAUUAAUAAGAAUAAUUUGAUAAAAUGACUAUUUUUUUUCUUUUAUUUAUUGCAUUAUUGUAUUUGAAAGAUAUGUGCUUAAACCUUAAUCAAUACUUAUUUUGAAACGGACGAAGUAAUCAACUACUAGUAUUAUUGACAAACAACCUCACAAUUGAAUUCAAGUAUGGAUAAUUAAAUUUCAAAUUAACUUUGUAUGAGGUAUAAAUAUUAAAUAUAUGAGUUGUUAUCAUAUACCUAAUAUAUUAAAGUUUUAAAUUGAAAUAUAAUAUCAAAUCUCUUAUAGUCUUUGAGUAUUUGGUUCUUCUUGUACGAGAGACUUCCCAUCAUACAUAAAUAUUGAGGGGACCAGAACACGUGGAUUUUUCAAAAGUCACAUUUUGCAAAAAAUAAAAAUAAUUAAUUUUUUCAUUUUAUCUCCAAGUUUGUUUGAGAAGUAAUAAUGGGUGCGUUUGUUUUAAAAAAAAAUUGAAACCAAUAAUCAUUUUUUAGGGUUUAAAAUGUGUUUGAUUCAGGUGAAUAACACUUUUAAACGUUUUAAUGUAAAUCUGGUCAGACCAAACUUUUUAAAAGACUAUGUCAGAUUGGAAAAAAAAAGUAUGAUAGGUCGUAGGUUAGACUUAGGUCUAAAAAAUUAAUCGUAGUCCAGACUCAGAAUUUUCAAAGUCUAACAUGACCUAACCUAUUCCUACUCAUAUUCUCGAGAAAAGAGUAUUUAUUUCAUUUGUGUCUUCUUAGCAUCUUUACUCAGGAUUAGACCUUUGAAGAUAACACCAAAAACAUGUAAGUUAGGCAGAAGAAAUAUCAUUUCACGUGUUUCGAUCGGACUCGGGUUCCAAUGAGUUAUCUUUUUACAUUUGACAUCGAUCACAUCAACUUAUAUUUAACCAUUUUUGUUCAUUUUUUUAACCCGACAUCCGAUUCAACCCGCUCAUUUUGUCAAAAAAACGAGUUGAAUUAAGCAGAUCCUAGUUGGAUCACAUGUUUUUGUCCACCUCUACCUAUGGUGGUGCACCCUUACCAAAAAUUCCAACACAGAUGUUUUGAUGUUAUAUGCUAUAGGCGCCCAAUGAAUGUAGGGUAUAUUGUUUUUUUUUUAUAUUAGACUUAAUUGCAGUUUUGUUCCUCUAUUUUAGCUGAAUCGAAAAAGUAGUUCUUCCAUUUUAUUUCUCCAUAGUUUUGGUCCCCAAAUAGAAUUUUGGUUCAAAACUUGAUGAAAUUUCAUUUUUUUCAAUUCACACCAUACCAUUUAUAAUAAUAGAUUUCAAGUACAAUUGUUCCACAACGAGAUUUUGAGGUAUGGUGUAACUUAUAUAAACGCAAAAAAAAAAAAUGAAACUUCAUCAGGUUUUGGAUCAAAAUUCUGUUUCGGGGACCAAAACUGAUGAGAAAUAAAAUAAAGAGACCACUUUUACGAUUCAGCUAAAAUAAGGGGGACAAAAUUGCAAUUCAACCUUUAUAUUAUUUAUGGAAGAGAAAUGUGUUUAAAAUUGACAACUUUACAAUACAAUCAGCUGCGCCAUUUGAUUCCUACCUAUACAACUUUUGCAUUACAUAUAAUUGAAUAUAUCACUAUUGUCUCAUAUCACUUUUUUUUUUUUUGCAUUCAAUCAUUCAAAAAAGAAAAAUAAAAGUAAAUUAGAUUCUCCAAUAAUUAACCAAAUAACAUUAAAAAUUGUCAUUAAAAAUAACAUUAUUUUUUAUUUUCUUAUGGUAAUAUUUUUUGGUUAAAACAUUGUAAAAUUAAAUUUAAUUAAAUUUUAUUUUAUUUAUUUAUAGAGUAGUACUUAGGGGUGUACGUGGGUGUGGGUCGACCUGUCAAUUCUAUCAUCCAACCCAAUCCGACUUUUACCCGUAUCCAGUCACUUUCGAGUCCGAUCCAACCCAACUCAUUGAAAUCCAUUUAUAUUUGGUUCGGGUAAUGGGUUUAACAAAUUAAACAUGUUGAUCCGACCCGGUAACUAGUUAUAUAUAUUUUUUUAAAAUUUUGUUUGACAGUCACAACAAUUCAAUAGAGUUUUAUUACUCUUCUUCUUUAAAUUUUUAGCUUCUUGAAGUUGCACCGCCGUCCACCUUCUUCUUUUGUUAUGCAUUUGCUCACAACUGUUAUGAUUUUUAUACAAAUUAGUUAUAAUAAAAAUUAUUAAUAACUGAUUUUUAUAUGAAUUAUGUUGCAAGGUGUUCAUGCGUCUAAUAAAUGAUUUUUAUAUUAAUAACUUUUUUUUUUGAUGAUUUUUUAAAGAAUUGAAUUAUGUGAUUGAAAUUUUAUAGUUUUUGAGACAUUCAAAUAUUAAAUAUAUUUUCGUGUAAAAUAAAAAACAAGUUAUUAUUUAUUUAUAACCCGUCAAUCCAAUCCAACCCAACUCGUUCUUGAUCAGGUCGGUCGGUUCAGAUUAAAUGAAAAAAAUACAGAUUUAGAACUUAAUUCAACUCAAAUAGAAUCAAUUGGGUCGGAUAUCAAGUUUUAUCAAAUUAGACCCAACCCAACCCACGUACACCCUUAGACUAAUACUACUAUAUGAUGUCAAUACAUAUCCUAAAUUUCCUCGCAGUAAAAUACUGUAUUUGAUAAGAUUAAAAAAAAAAAUAUUGUAUUUGAUCUUCUCCAUUGAUAUGUGAUUUGUUGGUUUAAAUAACAUUUUUACUAAAUUAUAACCAACAAUUUUUAUUUGUGGAUGCAAGAUUGGACUACAAAAAUUAGCGAUAGUCGUGAUAUAGUGAAAUCUAUAUUUUAUGUAAAUUCCCUUUGCAAUACAUAUCUUAUUAAUGGAGGACGGAGAAAAAAUUAAACAUUAUAUAUUAUAAUUUUCAACACGUUAGAAUCAUCAUCCGAAUACAAAAAUUGUAUAUUUUGGUAAUUUUAAUAAAUUAUAUUAUUAUUAAUGCUUAUUUUCUUUUGACACUUUUAUUAAAAUAAAACAAAUAUAUAUAUGGUAUACGAGAUGUUUUAUCGUUCCAUAAUAAUUAAAUUAUUUAAUCAUUACACAUACGUAUAAAGAUAAUUGUAUAAAUGAGAAAAAAUAUUAAUUUUGUAAAAAAUUUAUUAUUAAAUAUUAAUAUAUUAUUGAUAUUAUAAAAAUAUAAUAAAAAAUAGUAUAUUUAAAGCGACGUACUAUUAAUUAAAUAAUAUAAUUAAAAAUUAAAAGAGCUGCUUAUUUUGAGACAAUUGAAGAAAUAAUUCACAUAAUCGUUUUUGCAAAUCCUUCCUCAUACUAGUACUAAAAAGGGUAGAUUGCUAUCUCAUAUUUUUCAAAUUAUUUAUUAAAAAAAUAUUUUUUUUUAUUACUCAUAAGAAAACUCAUCUAACUAAUAAAAAAAUAGAUGAUGUAUUAUCAGGUAAAUUAAUCUUAUACUACUUAAAAAUUUACAUUUGAAAAUGUAUCAUCAUUAAACUCUUAAUGAAUCAUGCAAAACAAAAUUAAUUUAAUUAAAAAAACACAAUUUCAUUUAUUUUUAAUAUUUGUUUACCAUGUAGUAAAUAAAGAUAUUUGCAACAAUCGAGUAAUACAAACAUUUGCAUCAACUGCAUAGUACUAGUAGAAUUUCGUCACGUUGAAACACUAGACGGUUUUAGAUUAUAUUAAAAAAUUAUUCCGCGUUCCAAUAUUAAAAUCUGAAUCAAUCGCAUCCAAGCACGGAACCAAAAAGGGGAUAGUAUGGGCUGAGGCAACUCCCUGCAAUAAAUUUUGUAGACAUAUAUAUCAUAUACAAUAUAAUAUUAAUAUAUAAUAUAGCACCAAGUAAAAGUUGUUGACUUACUACUACUUUAUAGACGUGGUUUUGAAAAGCACAUACUCAGUAUAUACAUUUUAAUAAUAUAUUAUAAGAGUAAAUAACUUUUUAAUAAUUUAUAUUUAGUUCCUAUAAAAUAUUUUUAAAUUUUUAGUCUCACAAUAUAUUUUGUUUCUAUUUUAAAGUUAAUUUAUGUGUCUCUUUUAAAUAUUUGAAUUAUUAUUUUUGUCAUGAUUAAGAUAUUUUAAUAUAUUAUUUAUAAAUAAUUUAAAAAAUUAACAAGAGAAAAAGUAAAUGUAACUUUUUAAGUUUUUGAUAAAAAUUUGUAUGUAGUUUCAAUUUUUUUUAAAUAUUAAAAUUUACUAGAAAUAUUUUAUCAUGUAGUAAAAAUAUUAAUCAAAAUUAUUAAAAAAUUGUAAAUACAUAAGUUUGACUUAAAAACAAAGAUAUAUAUAGAUCAUUUUUAUUAUAAAUAUUAUGAAUAAUAGGUUGACAAUGAAGAUAAUAUUCUAGUUGGUAGUUUGAUUCCUUCCACUGUGAGAAGGAAUGUUUACAAGUUUGAUAUAAAUUUUAAGAUAUGCAAGAGUGACGCAUAUGACUUGUAUAUAUUAUAUUGAAUGUAUUGAACUAAUAAAAAUUUGAUUAUUAAAUUUUCUGCCCCUGGUUUCAUAAAUUCAUUAAACUUUCUGCCCCCGGUUUCACAAAUUCCUAGGUCCGUCCCGAAUCCAUGCUCAGACUAGGGACGGAGACGACAUACCACGAUCAACAAGUGGAAUCAAAUGAAAUAUACAAAAAUCAAAUCAUAAUUAAAAUAACCUAAACAAAAUUUGUAAUCGGAAUUGAAACAUUGUUAAUUUCAUAUUGGUUAAACGCCAAAAGAAAUACAAUUGAACAAAACUUGAAAUCAAACUCUAAAAGACAAAAACAAAAAUAAACUAAGAGAAACGAAAUUCAUACACAAAUUCUUACCAAGUACCCAAAUUUACAAUUUCAUCCAUCCUAAGGCAAAAACAGAGAGAGAUAAACCAAAUCAUUAGAAUUGAAAAAUUAUGUGUUCACGGAAGAAGCUUUGAAAACCAGUUAUAUAUCAUUAUCAAUCGAAGCUCCAUAAAUCACCAACCACACUUUCUUGAACAAUGUUUGGCGGCGGCAUAAAUUGUCCAUCAUAGUACGGAAUCUGAUAAAACUUCAUGUAAUCCUCGUACGCCAUCAAUUCAUCCGACAGCUCCUGAACCUCGUUCUUUGCUGCUUCUUGCUCUUGUUGUUCUAUCUCUCUUUCUUUCUCUUUCUCUUUCUCUUUCUCAUUCCCAUUAACAACACCAACAAAAUAACCGUUUUCAUUCUGAUUAAACUCCAUUGUCAAGUAGCCAUUACCAACCUCUGAAGUUUCAUCACUACCAGAUAUGAUAAACGAAUCAGUGUUGAUAGCGCCCACAUGAGAAUGAACUGUAUCAGUUUGGUUCAGAUCAUAACCAAACUCCAAGUUCAGAUUUUUUGGGUAUUGUUGUUGCUGAUAGAGGGGAAUGAUUGGGGGUUUAAUCGGUGGAUUGUUGUAACGACGAACUUUAAUGGAAGAAGAAUAAUCAUCAUCAUCAUUGGGGAAAUUGACUUUGGCUUUUUUGCCACGGAUUUUUCGUGCUUCUCGAUCAUAGGCUCUAGCAGCUUCUUCAGCAGUGUUGAAUGUACCAAGCCAAACACGAACCCCUUUUCUAGGAUCGCGUAUUUCUGCAGCCCAUUUUCCCCAUGGACGUUGUCGGAUUCCUCUGUAGAGGUUUUUCCUCUGUUUUUUCACCGGUUUCUCAACUUGCUCACUAACUGCUUGAUGAAAAACUCCAUUCAGAAAAAUCUUUAAAAUAUCAAAUAAAUAAAUGAGAAAACGAAAGAAAAGGAUAUUUCAGUUAAGAAGAGUGACUAACCUGUGGGAGUGUAGGAUCUUUUGAGAGUGGGUGGUGGUGGUGGUGUUUGUUGAUCACCACCUGUUUGAGAAAAAUCGAAAUCCGAGUCUUUCUGUUGACCGAAGGAAGAAGGCCAGAGUUCAGAGGCCGUGAGACGGCGGCCUCCACGGCGAGGUAUGAAGUCAGCGAUGAUAGCACCGCCACACAUAUUAUUUUACGAGGAUGAUUAUUGAUUAGUGUGUGGUAAACAAAGGUUUGGGGGUUGGAUAUUGGUGUUGUGAGAAGGCGCAAUGAAUAUGAGAGGUAUGUGUGUGUGAGUUUGUUAUUAUUGAAGAAGUAGAAUUGUUG